rnacentral:rRNA from 1 species
AUUUAAGUCAGGGGUGAAAUCCCGGGGCUCAACCCCGAAACUGCCUUUGAAACUAGUGAGCUAGAGUCUUGGAGAGGUCAGUGGAAUUCCGAGUGUAGAGGUGAAAUUCGUAGAUAUUCGGAAGAACACCAGUGGCGAAGGCGACUGACUGGACAAGUAUUGACGCUGAGGUGCGAAAGCGUGGGGAGCAA